CCUACGGGAGGCAGCAGUGGGGAAUAUUGGACAAUGGGCGCAAGCCUGAUCCAGCAAUGCCGCGUGAGUGAUGAAGGCCUUAGGGUCGUAAAGCUCUUUUACCAGGGAUGAUAAUGACAGUACCUGGAGAAUAAGCUCCGGCUAACUCCGUGCCAGCAGCCGCGGUAAUACGGAGGGAGCUAGCGUUGUUCGGAAUUACUGGGCGUAAAGCGUACGUAGGCGGUUAUUCAAGUCAGAGGUGAAAGCCCGGGGCUCAACCCCGGAACGGCCUUUGAAACUAGGUAGCUAGAAUCUUGGAGAGGUCAGUGGAAUUCCGAGUGUAGAGGUGAAAUUCGUAGAUAUUCGGAAGAACACCAGUGGCGAAGGCGACUGACUGGACAAGUAUUGACGCUGAGGUACGAAAGCGUGGGGAGCAAACAGGAUUAGAUACCCUGGUAGUCCACGCCGUAAACGAUGAUAACUAGCUGUUCGGGCACUUGGUGCUUGAGUGGCGCAGCUAACGCAUUAAGUUAUCCGCCUGGGGAGUGCGGUCGCAAGNUUAAAACUCAAAGGAAUUGACGG
rnacentral:rRNA from 1 species